UUUUAAACUGAGUUACGGCGUCGAGGAAACGAGCGGCUCCGCUUUGCUCCAUCUUCUCUGCGUCUGUGAACGCUGCUAUAGCAACGGUCAAACUUGGUGGCACGUGACCGGAAACGGAAGUCACCAACAAACUGGCAAACAGCUUUCUUCACCCACUGGAGUCAUAAAAUCUGCCUCUGCCUCAAAUGGAUGGACAGUUCGAGACAUGAGCAGACAGACACAUCAGGCAGGAGGAGGUGAGGCAGAUGGUCGAGUAGGGAGGAAAGGGCUCGUUGGAGGAUGUCACGCAAGCAUGGUCUCAUUUAUGAGGUCCUCAAGUGUUCUCAAGAGAAAUGUGGAGGAUAUUAUAUCAGGCAUCUUCAGUGACUGAAGCCAAAUGAGUGGAUUUUGCCCAACUAAACAUUACAGAGACGUGAAUAUGCAGAAUAAAACAGCAUCUGAUUUUGGG